rnacentral:rRNA from 1 species
UACAGAGGUCCCGAGCGUUGUUCGGAUUCACUGGGCGUAAAGGGUGCGUAGGUGGCUUGACAAGUUUGAUGUGAAAUCUCCGGGCUUAACCCGGAAAAUGCAUUGAAUACUGUAGAGGCUUGAGGUUUGGAGGGGGGACUGGAAUUCUCGGUGUAGCAGUGAAAUGCGUAGAUAUCGAGAGGAACACCAGUGGCGAAGGCGAGUCCCUGGACAACUCCUGACACUGAGGCACGAAAGCCGGGGGAGCAAACAGG